CAGAGACAGGGUCUUGUUGUGUUGCCCAGGCUGGACUCAAACUCCUGGGUUCAAAUGAUUCUUCUGCCUCAGUCUCCCGAGUAGCUGAGACUACAGCCAGGUACUAUUCUAGAUUGUCUUGUGAUAUUUACAAUCUAGGAGAAGGCAGGAGAGAGAACUAAGAACAGAGAGCAUGUUCUGAGAUGUCUGCUGUGUUUGCAGACUUAGAUUUUUGGCUGGACUAUUGGCUUGGGAUAGAUGAAAAUCAUUCCUUGUAUCCCCUGAUCUUAAAGUCAAGACUGAACCAGCCUCCAGAUGCAAGCCUUCAUGGGGCUUCAGAUACCAUGAGGAAUGGGCGUCCCUGCAAUAUUGUCAUGGCUGUCAAAAGUGUUAUUGGAGCUGGAAACUCCUGGAGGGCAGAGCCAUGCCUGCCAUUUUCAUCAUUGCAUUACCACCACCCAGCACAGUGCCUGGUACAAAAGAGUUGCUCAAUAAAUAAAUCAGGAUGAAUGGACAAAUACACGGAUAGGCACUUUGAACUACAGAUGAGCUUAAAUACUUUGUGUUUUUCUUAGUCAAACAUGUGCAAUUAAGCAUGUGAUAAAUUAUAUGAUGACCACAC